rnacentral:rRNA from 1 species
AAGUGGAGCAAUCCAUGAGUAAAGUGGCGCACGGGUGAGUAACACGUGACUAACCUACCCUCGAGUGGGGAAUAACCUCGGGAAACCGGGGCUAACACCGCAUAAUAUCUACGGAUCAAAUGCGUAAGCAGCUUGAGGAGGGGGUCGCGGCUGAUUAGCUAGUUGGCGGGGUAAUGGCCCACCAAGGCAGUGAUCAGUAGCCGGCCUGAGAGGGCGCACGGCCACACUGGAACUGAAACACGGUCCAGACUCCUACGGGAGGCAGCAGUGGGGAAUUUUGCGCAAUGGGGGAAACCCUGACGCAGCAACGCCGCGUGGAGGAUGACGCCCCUUGGG